GGCAUGCUAGGGCAGGCAUGUAGUCCCAGACACUUAGGAGGCAGAGGCAGGAGAUUGCUUGAAUCCAGGAGUUCUGGGCUGUUGUGCGGUAUGCCCACCAGGUGUCUGCACUAAAUUCAGCAUCGCUAUGGUGAUCUCCUGGCAAUGGGAGACUACCACGUUGCCCAAAGACAAAUGAACUGGCCCAGGUUGAAAACGAGCAGGUCAAAAUCCCAUACUGAUUAGCAGUGGUAUUGCACCUGUGAAUGAAUAGCCAACUAAAUUUCAGCCUGGGCUACAUAGCAAGACCUUCUUCUCU
ensembl:misc_RNA Metazoa_SRP Metazoan signal recognition particle RNA